rnacentral:lncRNA from 1 species
GGAACAAUGACACUGGAGAUGCGCGUCCACGAGACGAUUCCAUGUUUUUCUUUCAGUCUUUGAAUGAAUACAACGUCGCCCGGUUGGAAUAUUAUCGCUAUUUUACGAGAAAAAUCGUAUAAAAAUUUAUUUUAAACAGCGUUUGACAUGCUUCGAAGUACGGUAAUGGAAGAUUUGGAAUUUCUUUGUCAUGAAAUGCGCUCGCGCGUCACCCUUCGGAUACUGACCUGAACGCACAGACAAAACGGAGCUAUUUGAAUAUAACUAUGGAUUAUUUGGAACCAAAACAACAUUUGUUGUUGAAUUACAAAUCCUGGGAGUGCAUUCUGACGAAGAACAGCAAAGGCCGGUGAUUCCUGCCCCCCUGGCUGAUGCUGUCCCCUACGACACCACUUUGCCCCCUGUGCACAUCGAGAUGUCCCGCCUAUGCCUUAAGAUCCCUACUGGACUCCCGACGUUGUAGGGUUGGCUCCAGUAGCUGGUGGACUGGGAAGGGUACGGCCCAGAGGAGCGGUGUUGGGUUCCGGUGGAGGACAUUCUGGAUCCCAACAUCAUCCGUGAUUUCCAUCUUCGCUUCCAGGACUGGCCAUGGUCACCGACAACGCUGGUUUACUAACCACCGGUCCUGUCACCCAUCAUUACGCGCACCUGCGCUUCAUCAAUAGGCACACCUGUACUCCAUUACCUCCUAUUUAAUCUGUCUGUCCCUUAGGUUCAUUCCCUAGGCAGUAUUGACUGUCUUUCAUGUCUGUACGCUACUCGUGUUUCUUGUUAUUUUUCAACUCACCACCUGCACCUGCUUUCUGUCUCCCAGCGUAUACGUUACAAUCGCUUAUUGUACCUGCCAGGCUAUUGUGUCGCACUCGCAAAUGCUUCAAUGUAUUUCUUUAUAUACUACAACCUUGAAAUAAUAUGUCUGGCUCCUGACCUAUUUAGUGUUUAUAUGCUGUUUAAUAUGACAUGUAGCCCAUUUGAAAUAAUGAGCGCUUCGUAAAGUCACCUUUUCAUGUUUAUUAAAAUACUUUUCAUUCAAA